CUUGGUUCACAAAGGAAGCAUCGUCAGCGACGGGCUCUGGCUCGGGCUCACCCUCCUCUUGCUCCGGCGUUUCGGUCUCUACACGAGUGCGAUGAUGCUUGAUAAGUAAAUAUGCCAUGAAUGAUUGCAAUGAUAUGAGUAUGACAUGAUUAAGCAUGUUUUAGCAAUGCUAGAUGAUUAUUCACGAGUUGGUUGUAGCAUACAUAGGUAAGUAAAAUAAAUGUAAGUGUAAAGGUGCUGGACGAGGGGUGGCAGACUGUCCAGCUUGGGAAAGGUGGACCAUCCGGUAUGAACGGUGGACUAUUGUGCGGACCGUCGGUAGGUCAAGUGUGGACCGUUUUGGCAAAACUAGACGGAUUCUGGAUGGUUUUCAAAAAUCAGCACGUUCAAAAGAUGUGCAGAGGCUCGGUUCAUUGUGUGGUUGAACUGCGGACCGUCCAACAUCAUGGGCAGACUGUGCGCAGUAUGAAAAGCGGAAGUAGAAAUGUAAAGGUUCUGUUGGUUUUUGGUGUGCAAGUGGCAGAUCAUCCGUGGGUGGUGGACGGACUGUCCGCACCGUCGUCGUGGCUCGUAGGCAACUGGUAUCGGUUUGGGGUGCAAUUUAUUUCCAUGGGUUCCUAGGAGUGUCUAGAGUUCAUCUAAGAAGAUAGAUUUGACAUGCAUUAAGGAUUCGAAGCUCUAGGUCAUCAAUGGUGAUUUGGCUCUUAAGAUUUCAUGGAUUCAAAACCUAGGGCAAUGGGGAAAGGAUCGGGGAUGGAGAUGGCUCACUUGCGAUGAGUAGGACUUCGGUGAGGUGCCGCAGGUUGGUGUAGUGCGGCGUUGGGGAAGCUUGGGGUCAUCCUUCACUUGAAGCUUGAGGAAGGUCUUGGGGAUGGAGGAAGGAGAGCUCGGGGAAACUCCAAGCUCAAGGAAGGAGAUGACGUCGAGGUGGUGCAGCUCGACGGCGUCGAGCUCCGGUGGUCCUCCGGCGAAGCUCCGACGAGAUGGAGGGGCUUCAAAGGUGGAGGGACCUUGGGAGCUCCUCCAUGGCUUGGGUAGAAGAGAGAGUGUUUGAGAGUGAAUGGGAUGGGAGCGAGAGAGAGCUGCAAGGUGCUCUAGGCGAGGAGGGGUGCGGGCUAAUGAGUGGGUUCGAGGGGGUGAUGUGGCGUAAAAGUUCUACGUGCACGACACGCACCGGGAUAUAC
rnacentral:lncRNA from 1 species